GGGGUUGUGGCUCAGAGGUGGAGCGCUUGCCUAGCAUGCAUGGGGCACUGGGUUUGAUCCUCAGCACCA
rnacentral:tRNA from 1 species